rnacentral:rRNA from 1 species
UAGGGAAUAUUGGUCAAUGGGGGCAACCCUGAACCAGCCAUGCCGCGUGCAGGAAGACGGCCUUCUGGGUUGUAAACUGCUUUUGACAGGGAAGAAAGUGAACCAUGCGUGGUUUUUUGACGGUACCUGUAGAAUAAGCACCGGCUAACUCCGUGCCAGCAGCCGCGGUAAUACGGAGGGUGCAAGCGUUGUCCGGAUUUAUUGGGUUUAAAGGGUGCGUAGGCGGACCAAUAAGUCAGUGGUGAAAUACUUCGGCUCAACCGGAGAGGUGCCAUUGAUACUGUUGGUCUUGAGUGAACUCGAAGUAGGCGGAAUUGAUGGUGUAGCGGUGAAAUGCAUAGAUAUCAUCAAGAACACCGAUAGCGAAGGCAGCUUACUUGGUUUCAACUGACGCUGAUGCACGAAAGCGUGGGGAGCGAACAGGAUUAGAUACCCCCGUAGUCC